UACGUAGGGGGCAAGCGUUGUCCGGAUUUAUUGGGCGUAAAGAGCGUGUAGGCGGCCUGACAGGUCUGCUGUGAAAACUCGAGGCUCAACCUCGAGAUGUCGGCGGAAACCGUCUGGCUAGAGUCCGGAAGAGGAGAGUGGAAUUCCUGGUGUAGCGGUGAAAUGCGUAGAUAUCUGGAGGAAUACCGGUGGCGAAGGCGGCAUCCUGGACCGACAUUGACGCUGAUGAGCGAAAGCUAGGGGAGCAAACGGG
rnacentral:rRNA from 1 species